UGGAAGAGACGGUUGAUAAGAAGCGUGCGUGCGAGUGGAUUUACGAGGUCUUCGGAGUAUAAUACAUGUGUAUAACUGUUGUGUGUGAAAUAAAGUGAAUUAUUUGAAUUUCCGAAUCCCUCCUAUAUCUUUACAAUAUAUUAUUGCAUCAAUUGAAGCAAGAUGAAGUUUGCAGAACAUCUGUCUGCUCACAUUACGUCUGAAUGGCGUAAGCAAUACAUAAGCUAUGAGGAAAUGAAGGCAAUGCUCUAUACUGCUGGAGAAGAAGCACCGUCAGCUGAAAGUGUUGUUCGUGAUAUUUCGAUCGAUAGAAAGUUCUGAUCAAACGCAAAUUUUGCGUAUCAUGGGUGAAGAAGAAAAUGGUGUACUCAAUAGAGGUAAACGUAAAGUUGGUGGUAAACGACAAGCUACUAGUAAAGAAGACAAACGGGCAUUGCUGAAAGAAGAAACAGUUGAUAUAGAUAUAUCAAAUGCCAGCUAAAAAUAGUUCAAUUGUUUUAUUAUCAGAACCUACGCAAAGCAAUAUUAUUCCAAAUUUAAUGUAAUUUUUAUAUAGGCAAUAGUUUGCCAGAAAAAGUGCAGGUCGUACUUUAUGAACAAUUAAUAUUUCCUUUGUGCAUCAAAAUUGAAGAUUGUGAGGCUGAACUGAACAAGUGCCUUGUAUAUAUCCUGUUUAUUAAACUAUGAAUUUAAUAACUUA